rfam:Gossypium raimondii Chr05_contig_864, whole genome shotgun sequence.
AGCAAAAUGAUGAAAGUAAUUUAAAAAUCUGAAUUCUGUGUGGGAAUCCCAUUCUGGGUCUUCAAAGUUCUCUGAUUGCU